UUGAGCAUGCAGCCAAGCGGUUCCAGGAAAUAGCCUCUUCAUAUAGACCGUACCCGAAACCGACACAGGUGGUCAGGUAGAGUAUACCAAGGCGCUUGAGAGAAGUAUCCUGAAGGAACUCGGCAAAUUGCCUCCGUACCUUCGGAAGAAGGAGGCCCUCUCACUGGGCAACCAGUGUGGAGGGGGCACAGGCCAGGGGGUAGCGACUGUUUAUCAAAAACACAGGACUCUGCUAAGUCGGCUUCAAGACGACGUAUAGGGUCUGACGCCUGCCCGGUGCUGGAAGGUUAAGAGGAGGAGUGCAAGCUCCGAAUUGAAGCCCCAGUAAACGGCGGCCGUAACAAUAACGGUCCUAAGGUAGCGAAAUUCCUUGUCGGGUAAGUUCCGACCUGCACGAAUGGCGUAACGACUUCCCCACUGUCUCCAGGAUAUGCUCAGCGAAAUUGAAUUCUCCGUGAAGAUGCGGAGUACCCGCGGUUAGACGGAAAGACCCCGUGCACCUUUACUGCAGCUUCAGAGUGGCAUUAGGAAAGAGUUGUGUAGCAUAGGUGGGAGGCUUUGAAACUUGGGCGCCAGUCCGAGUGGAGCCAUAGGUGAAAUACCACCCUG
rnacentral:rRNA from 15 species